GGUGAACGCUAGCUACAGGCUUAACACAUGCAAGUCGAGGGGAAACGGCAUUAAGUGCUUGCACUUUUUGGACGUCGACCGGCGCACGGGUGAGUAACGCGUAUCCAACCUUCCCAUGACUAAGGGAUAACCUGCCGAAAGGCAGACUAAUACCUUAUGGUCUUCACUGACGGCAUCAGAUGUGAAGUAAAGAUUUAUCGGUUAUGGAUGGGGAUGCGUCUGAUUAGUUAGUUGGCGGGGUAACGGCCCACCAAGGCAACGAUCAGUAGGGGUUCUGAGAGGAAGGUCCCCCACAUUGGAACUGAGACACGGUCCAAACUCCUACGGGAGGCAGCAGUGAGGAAUAUUGGUCAAUGGGCGAGAGCCUGAACCAGCCAAGUAGCGUGCAGGAUGACGGCCCUAUGGGUUGUAAACUGCUUUUGUAUGGGGAUAAAGUCAAUCACGUGUGAUUGUUUGCAGGUACCAUACGAAUAAGGACCGGCUAAUUCCGUGCCAGCAGCCGCGGUAAUACGGAAGGUCCGGGCGUUAUCCGGAUUUAUUGGGUUUAAAGGGAGCGUAGGCUGGAGAUUAAGUGUGUUGUGAAAUGUAGACGCUCAACGUCUGACUUGCAGCGCAUACUGGUUUCCUUGAGUACGCACAACGUUGGCGGAAUUCGUCGUGUAGCGGUGAAAUGCUUAGAUAUGACGAAGAACUCCGAUUGCGAAGGCAGCUGACGGGAGCGCAACUGACGCUGAAGCUCGAAGGUGCGGGUAUCGAACAGG
rnacentral:rRNA from 1 species